rnacentral:tRNA from 1 species
GUUAUUAUAGUUUAAUUAAAAACAUGGAUUUUGUAAGUCUAAAAUUGCAUAGCAUAAGAACU